rnacentral:tRNA from 1 species
GCACUUGUAGCUCACCAGGAUAGAGCGUUGCUUUCCGAAGGCAAAGGUAGUGGGUUCGAUUCCCGCCAAGUGCA